UACGAAGGGGGCUAGCGUUGCUCGGAAUCACUGGGCGUAAAGCGCACGUAGGCGGAUUGUUAAGUCAGGGGUGAAAUCCUGGAGCUCAACUCCAGAACUGCCUUUGAUACUGGCGAUCUUGAGUCCGGGAGAGGUCGAGUGGAACUGCGAGUGUAGCGGUGAAAUGCGCAGAUAUCGGGAGGAACACCAGUGGCGAAGGCGGCACUCUGGGCCGGUACUGGACGCUGAGGAGCGAAAGCGUGGGG
rnacentral:rRNA from 1 species